GUGUGUGUGUGUGUGCAUGAUACAUUCAUUGUGAGGACAUAAUAUCAUUGUAAAUGCGUUAAAAAUACAUGCAUGACACAAGAAAGUGAAAACACUUAUUUCCAUUGUGGUCCAAUUUGAAAAUCAAAUCAC